GCACUGCUGAGGAGUCCAGUGAUAGGAUGAAACGGCCGUCCAGUGC
rfam:Schistosoma margrebowiei strain Zambia genome assembly, scaffold: SMRZ_scaffold0000493